GAUGAACGCUGGCGGCGUGCCUAAUACAUGCAAGUCGAGCGAACAGACGAGGAGCUUGCUCCUCUGACGUUAGCGGCGGACGGGUGAGUAACACGUGGAUAACCUACCUAUAAGACUGGGAUAACUUCGGGAAACCGGAGCUAAUACCGGAUAAUAUAUUGAACCGCAUGGUUCAAUAGUGAAAGACGGUUUUGCUGUCACUUAUAGAUGGAUCCGCGCCGCAUUAGCUAGUUGGUAAGGUAACGGCUUACCAAGGCAACGAUGCGUAGCCGACCUGAGAGGGUGAUCGGCCACAGUGGAACUGAGACACGGCCCAGACUCCUACGGGAGGCAGCAGUAGGGAAUCUUCCGCAAUGGGCGAAAGCCGGACGGAGCAACGCCGCGGGAGUGAUGAAGGUCUUCGGAUCGUAAAACGCUGUUAUUAGGGAAGAACAAAUGUGUAAGUAGCUAUGCACGUCUUGACGGUACCUAACCAGAAAGCCACGGCUAACUACGU
rnacentral:rRNA from 1 species